GGGGCUAUAGCUCAGCUGGGAGAGCGCAACACUGGCAGUGUUGAGGUCAGGGGUUCGAGCCCCCUUAGCUCCACCA
rnacentral:tRNA from 1 species